UUGCUUGGGCAGCACAUACACUAAAAUUGGAACAGAAUAGAGAAGAUUAGCAUGGCCCCUGUGCUAGGAUGACACACAAAUUCGUGAAGCAUUUCAUAUUUUU